rnacentral:rRNA from 1 species
AACGCUGGCGGCGUGCUUUACACAUGCAAGUCGAGCGAUGAGAUCCCUUCGGGGAUGGAUUAGCGGCGAACGGGUGAGGAACACGUGAGGAAUCUGCCUUCAACACUGGGAUAACUCCGGGAAACCGGGGCUAAUACCGGAUACGAGAGCUGCAGGCAUCUGCGGCUCUGGAAAGUUUUUCGGUUGAAGAUGACCUCGCGGCCUAUCAGCUUGUUGGUGAGGUAAUGGCUCACCAAGGCGACGACGGGUAGCCGGCCUGAGAGGGCGACCGGCCACACUGGGACUGAGACACGGCCCAGACUCCUACGGGAGGCAGCAGUGGGGAAUAUUGGGCAAUGGAGGAAACUCUGACCCAGCGACGCCGCGCGCGGGAUGAAGGCCUUCGGGUUGUAAACCGCUUUCAGCAGGGAAGAAGCGAAAGUGACGGUACCUGCAGAAGAAGCACCGGCUAACUAUGUGCCAGCAGCCGCGGUAAUACAUAGGGUGCAAGCGUUGUCCGGAAUUAUUGGGCGUAAAGAGCUCGUAGGUGGUUCGUCACGUCGGAUGUGAAAAUCUGGGGCUUAACCCCAGACCUGCAUUCGAUACGGCGAGCUAGAGUGUGGUAGGGGAGACUGGAAUUCCUGGUGUAGCGGUGGAAUGCGCAGAUAUCAGGAGGAACACCAAUGGCGAAGCAGGUCUCUGGGCCAU